UUCUGUUUCAGCACCCCAUAUUUACUGUGCUGCUUUUUUAUAUCUUUUUUUCUAUAUUAUUUAUUUUUUUCUUAUCAUGACCUUCAUGUAUUACCCAAUAUAUUAUUCCUUUUCUGUAAACCCCCUUCCAGAUCAUUGUGUACAUACAAAUACUUGAGUCAUUCUAAUGAAACUAAGAUAUAAGCUUACAAUGAUAUUUUAUUAUUAUUUCUUGGAGUUGUGAAUGCUCCCUUGACAGCAGAUGUAAAAAUUGGCAGUCUAGCUUCAAUUUCAUUUAUUGCAG
rnacentral:lncRNA from 1 species